UACAGAGGGUGCGAACGUUAAUCGGAAUUACUGGGCGUAAAGCGCGCGUAGGCGGCUUUGUAAGUCGGGUGUGAAAUCCCCAGGCUUGACCUGGGAACUGCAUUCGAGACUGCAUUGCUAGAGUAUGGGAGAGGGAAGUGGAAUUUCCGGUGUAGCGGUGAAAUGCGUAGAUAUCGGAAGGAACAUCAGUGGCGAAAGCGACUUCCUGGACCAAUACUGACGCUCAUGUGCGAAAGCGUGGGGAGCAAACAGG
rnacentral:rRNA from 1 species